rnacentral:lncRNA from 1 species
AGGGACUUUAGAAUUAUUAAAGAGAGAACUUCUUCAGAAUACCAUCUACCAAUUUUUCCCCCUCAAAUAUCUGCUGUUGUCUGUAAUGACUGGUUUGUUCUUAGCUGUGAUCUGGAGAAAUUCCAACUGAAAUCUGGAAGGGGUGAGUAUGACUUCUUCUAAUAAAGUAAUGUGGCACUAUUCCCAGAAGCUUGGCUCUAAAUAGAAGACAGCAAUCAAGAAAAUAUAUUUUUAUUCUUUUU